rnacentral:rRNA from 1 species
CGGGUGGCUGCAGCAGUAGGGAAUAUUGCACAAUGGGGGAAACCCUGAUGCAGCAAUGCCGCGUGAAGGAUGAAGGAUUUCGGUUCGUAAACUUCUAUCGAUGGGGAAGAAUAAAAUGACGGUACCCAGGUAAGAAGCCCCGGCUAACUAUGUGCCAGCAGCCGCGGUAAUACAUAGGGGGCAAGCGUUAUCCGGAAUUACUGGGUGUAAAGGGUGUGUAGGCGGCUUGGAAAGUCAAAUGUGAAAACUCAGGGCUCAACCUUGAGAAUGCGUUUGAAACUUCUAAGCUAGAGUACAGGAGAGGUAAGUGGAAUUCCUAGUGUAGCGGUAAAAUGCGUAGAUAUUAGGAGGAACACCAGUGGCGAAGGCGACUUACUGGACUGAUACUGACGCUGAGGCACGAAAGCGUGGGGAGCAAACAGGAUUAGAUACCCUCGUAGUC